rnacentral:rRNA from 1 species
UCGCGAAUUUUUCUCAAUGGGCGCAAGCCUGAAGAAGCCAUGCCGCGUGCGGGACGAAGGCCCUCUGGGUUGUAAACCGCUGUCAGGGGAGGGGAAACGUGCGGUGUUAACAGCGCCGCAUCUGACUGCUCUCCAAAGGAAGCCCCGGCAAAACAUGUGCCAGCAGCCGCGGUAAUACAUGUGGGGCGAGCGUUGUUCGGAAUCACUGGGCAUAAAGGGUGCGUAGGCGGUGUCGUACGUCUGGGGUGAAAUCCUUCGGCCCAACCGGAGGUCUGCCUUGGAUACGGCGAUGCUUGAGUGCGUGAGGGGUAACCGGAACGCGUGGUGUAGCGGUGAAAUGCGUAGAUAUCACGCGGAAGGCCAACGGCGAAGGCAGGUUACUGGCGCGCAACUGACGCUG